rnacentral:lncRNA from 1 species
AUGCUGGAACAAGGAUUUAAGGGAAAAAUUUCAUCAGAAGAUGAAAACAAAAGUUUACUCGGAGCCAAAUCACUUGCCCCUCACGCAGUUUCCUUGCAAUUAAGUGAAAGUGUGGAAAGCCACGUAAAAAUGCCAGCCUCAAUAAGGACAGGGGUUUUGGGUAGGAGUACCUCUCCGGGCGUAGGGGUCUCCCCGAAGAGGAAAGGGAGGGACAUGGGGCUGCAGCUCGUUCCUAGCCCAUUCGGGGUGCCAGGUGAAGCCACCAGGACAGCCGGGGGCUGCACAACGCUUCCGACUGGCGGCGCAGGCGGCGUGCAGCAGGAGAGCUUCCAGAGCUGCGUUCCAGGGGGUGCGCUGGGGCCUUGGAGCGAUCGCAGCAGAUUUACGGCCGGGGAGACGAGCGCAGCUCCCGCGCCCUGCCGUGCCCCUGCUGCCGAGACAGCUUGGAUUUCUCAGGAAUGCUUUAAUUGCCUCCGGUGCAAUCAACAAAGCACGUGGCCAAAGCGCACCUGGGAGGGUGCUGCUCCCGGGGCCCCAAGGCUGCCGCAGCCGUUCUGCUCCCAGGAACAAGGCCCUGAGCUCCUGCACGGCCGAGCUCUGUCCCAGACCACCCCGUCCCAGACCACCCUGUCCCGGACCACCCUGUCCGAGACCACCCAUCCCUCUCCCGAACUGCUGCGGGGCGGUGGCAGCUCCCUGCCCGCAGCGGAGGUGAUGUGCACGCAGCUCUCCUGCUCGCCCCGACCACGUUUCACCCGCCACGUCUGGCACCUCGCUGUCUGGCACCGAAAUGUCGCCGGCCAGCAGCAUCCUGCCGGCCCCACGCCUGCAGGCACGGGAGCUGAGCGCGUCCACACAGGGGGAUGGUGGGCGCCGGCCUCGUGCAUCCACCCCUGCCCCACGAGCGGCUCAGAAGGGCCCUGCGAGGGCUCCGACCGCAGAAAUGGCAUUCGCCCCUCGGCCACUGUACAGCCCCCGGGGAGAAGUCCCGCACGGCCACGGCGGUGCUGCCACUAA